AGAGUUGAAAAAAAUAAUAAAAUAAUAUAAUAGAUAAAGCUAGUUAGAUAUAAAUAUAUUUAAUUAUGUUACUAAUUAUUUUUUUAUUCAGUUAAUAUAUCUAAAAUAUGAUAAAAUUUGAUGAGUUAUGUUUUAAUAUUUUUUAUUUAGUUUGUAUAUUUAAAAUAUGAUAAAAAUUGAUUAAUUAAGUAUUCAUAUUUUUUUACUUUAUAAUUUCAUUAUUGUAUUACUAUAAUUUAUGUAUAAAAAAAUAAUUUAGUUGUUUUAAAUUAAAUUUUAAUUAUAUAAAAAUAUAAUUAUAUUAUUUUUAUUUAUUAAAAUAUUUAUUAUUUAUAUAUAAAUUAUAGUUAUAUAUUAUACACUUUCUACCAAACAUACAGCAGAACUGAUAGAACUUCAUUUCCAUAACUAUGAAACAAACAGCGAGGAAGAAGUAGUUUUCACCGAACUCCAGUUCAACCCAAAGUCCACUUCAACCCA
rnacentral:lncRNA from 1 species